CAGAUGAUCAGGAAGCACCCGAUGAACACGACUCGUCGCCACCGGAGGACACUGCGCUCUAUCCUCAUUCUCCAGGAACGCAGUAUCAGCAGCCUAAUAACCAGCCUCACGGGCAGCCCUACACCGGCCCGGCCGCCCAGCACAUGAAUAACCCGCAGCAAGCCCCGCAGAGGCCUCAAGAAAGCUGGGAGGGAACCGACGAGGUCCCUCCAGUCCAGACUACAGAGUAGCAGUCGCCCACACCUUGCCUCGAGACCGCAUCCGCUCGUCUCCAGGACCGAGACCAGGCCUUACAAACAGCAGUCUCGUAACGUACUCUAUGCCACCCAACUCCUGCAGCACUGACGUCUCUCUUCUCCACACUAGAUCUGUCUGAUGAUGAACCUGGAGCGACGUGAGUGUCCACACUGUCUGCAGACGAGCUGCGUGGGUACAGCUCUUGGAGUGAUCUGUCACUGUAGCGUGAGCGUUCAGGAAUGGUGAUGGUGUAUAUAGUGUGCAAAUAUCUAGACCUUUAGACCCCCUCCAGUUCCAUCAUCUUCAUCUAAAAAUACCACAGCAGCCGAAUGAAGGGAAACCCGAGGCUUCGUCGUCGCCGGGUGUUGCUCGUGUGUGAGGAUGAGUUUGCUGCGUCAGCACCGAGGCACACAAACAUUACAUGCUCAUGACUCUCCGUGGGGUUUCUGGAGCAACUCGGCGUCACUCUACUGAUUUAGAAAGCAUUGAAAUCUUUCGGCGCUUCUUAUUUGUUUUGCUUUUCUUCAUUCAUCAGGGCGCCUUCGGCCUGUUAGGAGUGUGCUGUGAUCUUCUGUUAGGGUCUUUAACACCACUUUCUCGUCCAUCCACUUCAACCUCAUUAGCAGCUGGUGGCUGCAGAUUUACUCCACAGACUAAAGUCUCUCUGGCACUCGAGUCCAUGUUUCAUUUGUAUUGUCAGUGGGCUGGAAAGUGUAAUAACUCAUCUUGUUUUGCCACCAUUUAAUCAAAUUUCAGUUGCCCUAGUUCUGAGUCUGCCUCUUGGCUCCUCCCACUUCCUCCGUCCCUGUCCAAUGAAAAUGCAGCCACGGCUACACUGCUCUGUAUCCGGGGAGAUUUGCAGGAAGGUCAUCGUGCUCCGGGAUUCAUCAACUCUGCUGGAUUUAUAAAGUGUGGCUCUUUUGUCUGAAUACCAAAAUGCCAGCGAAGGAAGUGGGAGCCCACCCUAUUCUAUUUUGCCGUUUUCUUUGAUGGAGGUUAUUUUGUUGAAUUUGAGAAGAAAGAGUUUGAGCGUUUGAAUGAAAAGGCCUUGUCCUAGUGUUGUAAUUUUUAAGAGGAUAUUCACUCUACAGAGUUCUGUGAGCCCUGUUUUUGCCGAGCGUAGUUUACGGUGUGCGGUUGGAUUCUGGAGCUGCUUUAGCCAUGUGAAGUUUUCACUUGAAGUCUUUCUUUCCCUGCACAGACGUAUAAUAACAGAAGCACUGCGCCACUGGAAACAACAAAUUACACAUUUAAAUGCAAGUUUUACUUUUUAUUAGCUUUCCGAUGGUUUCUACAAGAAGGUACAUUUUGUAAAUACCUAAUGCACGCAGAAACACGCUCGUUAAAUCAUUGUGUGCUGAUAGAUUUUAUUCAGCAGAAGGUUAUCCUGAAACAUCUGCAGACAUCCUGACAAAGACUGAACGGCCCUGAACUAGAUCUUGACGGAUCGAGUGGGUAGUGAGUGGGGUAAACCAUCUUAACUAGCACUACAGGUCGACCUUCUCUCAGGCCAUCUGUUAAGAAUACUUCUUCUGUGACCGAGAGAAUCUCACAAGCUCCAUUUUUGUAAAUGCUCAUUAGAGUGACAUUUGCCUUCUGCUUUGUUUUUGCUCUUUCAGGUUUAAUUUUGUUUGAAUUCUAAAGCUCUUUUAGUGAAACGUGCAUGGAUAAUAUUCCUCGGCCUUCGAGCACUGUACAAACCCAGCACACUGUAAAAUUAUACUUUAAAGGUAAAAAAUAAAUGGUAUUUGAAUUA